rnacentral:rRNA from 1 species
UACGGAGGGUGCAAGCGUUAAUCGGAAUUACUGGGCGUAAAGGGUGCGUAGGCGGUUGUUUAAGUCUGUUGUGAAAUUCCCGGGCUCAACCUGGGGGCUGCGCUUGAUACUGAUUGGCUUGAAUGCGGGAGAGGAUAGUGGAAUUCCCAGUGUAGAGGUGAAAUUCGUAGAUAUUGGGAAGAACACCGGUGGCGAAGGCGGCUAUCUGGCCCGUAAUUGACGCUGAGGCGCGAAAGCGUGGGGAGCAAACAGG